rnacentral:lncRNA from 1 species
GUGGAUUAGGGGUCAACAACUAAUUAAGGUUGUUAAAGUGGCAAUAAUUAGGACAAAUGAUCAAGUGAAAGAGGCCAAGAGAUAAUAUAUAUAAUACUUAUAAAUAGUCACUUAAUAAAAAAGAGGGGCGUAUGAAAUCUAAGUCCAUAUAAUAAUAGAGUAGAUAAUGAUGAAUUGAAUACUACACUAAACUACACUACACUACACUAACACACUGUGUGUAGGGACAGCCC